rnacentral:lncRNA from 1 species
UGUCUGCAGGUCAAAAUCUAAGUUAAGCCCCUGAUUCCACUUCCAUAGAAGAGCAUAUUCUCCACCAUCAGUUUGACAAAACACUGUGGGUUAAACUGAUUGCUGAUAUUACUUUUCUGUACACUGAUUCUAUGGUUCAUUUUGCUGGUCUUAUUACUAUUGUUACAGUUAUAUUGCCAAUUUUCAAACCAAUUCGGUAAAAGUAUCCAUC